AUUGAACGCUGGCGGCAUGCCUUACGCAUGCAAGUCGAACGGCAGCAUAGAGAGCUUGCUCUCUGAUGGCGAGUGGCGAACGGGUGAGUAAAGCAUCGGAACGUACCGUGUAGUGGGGGAUAACGUAGCGAAAGUUACGCUAAUACCGCAUACGCACUGAGGUGGAAAGCAGGGGAUCGCAAGACCUUGCGCUAUACGAGCGGCCGAUGUCAGAUUAGCUAUUUGGUAGGGUAAAGGCCUACCAAGGCGACGAUCUGUAGCGGGUCUGAGAGGAUGAUCCGUCACACUGGGACGGAAAGAGGGCCGAUACUCCUACGGGAGGCAGCAGUGGGGAAUUUUGGACAAUGGGGGCAACCCUGAUCCAGCCAUGCCGCGUGAGUGAAGAAGGCCUUCGGGUUGUAAAGCUCUUUCGGCCGGGAAGAAAUCGCACAGGCUAAUACUCUGUGUGGAUGACGGUACCGGCAUAAGAAGCACCGGCUAACUACGUGCCAGCCGCCGCCGUAA
rnacentral:rRNA from 1 species